CCAUGUGAAUAAAUAAAUGACAAUUCCAUAAGACGUUUUUGUGUAAUAGUAUUAGGUAACGUCAUAAUCGAAAGAUUGACAGAUUAGAAAGUAAAUAAUUAAAAAUGUUUAUAAUGGGGGGGACUAAGGUCAACGACAAGAUCAUGAGAAGUCUUCUUCUUCAUUGGAAAACUCUUUCCUUUAAAUCUCCAAUUUGCCAAAGCAGAGCCUGUGGUGGUCUUUG